CAAACAUGCAGCGAGAUAUGGCUUGAAAUUUUGGAACUUUGAAAAUUGAAAUGCGAAAUACAAUUUACGUAGCGAUGCAUUAUUUUAACGCAAAUGAUUUCGCAAAGGAUUUAUACUACGAAUUCCACACGGACGUACACCUUUCAUGUCUAUAAAAUAUUGUGGAUAUGGCGUAUUGAAACUUCUAUGAAAAUAUGGUGCUUGGGUAAAUGCUCAAAAAAUACAUUUUUGGGUAACAGGUUUCAGGAUCAGAAGGACAGGUUUAUACAUAGCAGAGAUUUUUCAAAAAGUUUGUACAGAUGUAUUGACAUACAGUAAAAAUUUCGAACAUUUUAUUCCAUCACUUGUAUUGAGUUCAGUUCAAAUUAUCUUUCACGAUUGUUUAUCAUAUGCAUUGAAUA